UACGUAGGGUGCGAGCGUUAAUCGGAAUUACUGGGCGUAAAGCGUGCGUAGGUGGCGAUGUAAGUUUGGUGUGAAAUUUUGGGGCUCAACCUCAAAACUGCAUUGAAUACUGCAUUGCUUGAGGAUUGUAGAGGAGAGUGGAAUUCACGGUGUAGCAGUGAAAUGCGUAGAUAUCGUGAGGAAGACCAGUUGCGAAGGCGACUCUCUGGGCAAUUUCUGACACUGAGGCACGAAGGCCAGGGGAGCAAACGGG
rnacentral:rRNA from 1 species